UCCGUAUACAUCGUGCCACCUCCCCGGCUUCCCAGUCAACUGUGUGUGUCUCUAAGCCUCCGAGAAAAUCCUUAAAAAAUGGAGCCGAAGAGAAACAGCUGUUCUGCUUUUGAGAGAUUUGCCAAGCUCACGUGGUUAAAUUUAAUGGCUGGGUGUUCGCAGCUCUGGAGAACAAUGUAAUUUGUGUCAUUACUGCCCUGAAGAGUGACUGUUUGCACCUUCUGCAGGGGACAGAAAACUGUCAGGGCCAGGUCGUGUUUAGAAACAUGGCGCUGAUAUGGGUAUCCAACAUGGGCCAAGAUGUCAACUGCCUGCCAUCUGAGGAGUUCUGGCUCAGCCCAGACCGGCUGACACCUGAUGUCCUGGAAACCCAAAGUAAACAAUCUGCCAUCCUCCUCCCGAGGGAUGAGUAUCAGUUUCAUGAGGGUUCUGUCUAACUGGCCUUGAGGUGAGACACAUUUUGGGUCCAAGUUUUCAUGAGUGGGUUGGCGUCCUCCUCGCUCCACUGGAAGUCCCACCUGGCCACAGGAGAUGGUGACUUCAGGCUCCCUAACCCCUGCCCCGGGAGUCGCUGCUAGCAUCACCCUGUAGACCCCCGGAGCACUCCCCUGCCCCAGAAAUGUCCCCACACACUGAUCUCUGCUCUCUCUCCCGGUCCUUUCCCCCACACCUAACACCCACCUCUGUUACCUUCCCUACCCCCUCCCACCCAGUUCCCUGUCUUUAUAUGCUUCAGAUGUCUAUUUUAUUUCUUCUGAGUGAGAUUCAAGCAUCCCCCUUGGCUUCUAGAGUCUGUGGGUUAUAUGAUGGUAAUGCCGUAAUUUAUGGCUAAUAUCCACUUAUAAGUGAGUACAUACAAUGUGUGUCUUUCUGGGUCUGGGUUACCUCACUCAGGAUUAUCUUUUCUAGUUCCAUCCAUUUGCCUGAAAAUUGAAUGAUGUGUUUGUUUUUAAUAGCUGAGUAGUAUUCCAUUGUGUAAAUGUACCACAGUUUCUUUAUCCAUUCUUCAUUUGAGAGACAUCUAGAUUGUUUCCAGUUUCUGGCUAUUAUGAAUAAAUCUGCUAUGAACGUAGUUGAACAAAAGUCCUUACUGAAUGGUGGAGCAUCUUUCGGGUAUAAGUCCAGGAGUGGUAUAGCUCGAUCUUGAGGUAGCACCAUUCCCAAUUUUCUGAGAAACUGCCAGAUAGAUUCCCAGAGAGGCUGUACAAGUUUGCACUCCCACCCCCUUGCUCCCUGUCAAGCUUCCCCACUGUUCCUACCUGUCCUUUCACAGAUUCAUGACUUUGGAUUUUGUUUUGUGGCUGACUUAGGUUAGCCAGGACCACGUACGCUUCUCCUGGAUAUGCAUGUGCGUGUGAGAUUUCUAGAUUAUGUCACUCUAUGUCAGUGCUUGAGAAACCAGCAAGCUGGCUCCUCAGCAGGGUCGCCCUGUGGCAGCACUCCAGGAAAACUGGAAUGUGAAAAUGUUAAAUCUUUAUGGUACUUGGGCACAUGAAAUGUCUUGUUUCCUUCCUAUAAAGGAAAGCUUUUUUCCUACAUAGGCCUAGCACUUCGGUUGCAAACACAGGAAAAACUGAAGAAUGAUUUUGAGAACCAUGGUGACAAUGACCCAGGAGGGAACAAAACCAUCAGCAGAUGCCCAGUCUAGAAACUGAAGAGUAGAGGAAAUCCAGAACCCCAGAUCUCCAAGCGCAGUGUUGAUCUGGAGCUACCAUGUACUCGUGUUCAUUGCUUGUCCCUGAGAUAUUGACUCUCCUAAGAGCAAGUGCUCGCCUACACCAAGUGACACGUGUAACCUUGCUCCCAAAUCAUCCCUGAUUGGCGAAUAGAAUCGACUGCACUGGGCAGCAGAGAGGUCGGUGGAGCUAAGGUUCGAGGGCGUGGAGGGCAGAAGGGUCACGAGGAGAGAGGGGUGCAGGAGAGGAGAGGAACGGGCAGAAGGGAUUAGCCAGGGGAAGCACGUGGCCGGGAGGAGCUGACUCUGAGGACUGGCAUGAUGGACAGAAGCGACCCAAACAGAGCACGUGCAAGUGUUUACGGGAAUUUGGAAUGGGAAGUGUGGCUGGGAAAUAACAGUGGAGCUCAAGGGGUUAAGAUCUGCCCAGCCCCAGUGUGUAAGUCAUAUUUAAAAUCUAAUAGGUGUGUAUGUCUUUUAUUUCUGUAACAGCUGCAUUUAAUGACCAUAUGAACCAAUAUUAAAUAAUCUUUU